rnacentral:rRNA from 1 species
AUUGAACGCUGGCGGCAGGCCUAACACAUGCAAGUCGAACGAGGGGGGGACGGGAGAGUAAUGUCGGGGAAACAGCCUGAUGGAGGGGGAUAACUCGUGGAAACGGUAGAUAAUACCGCAUAGCAGUGGAUGAGACCAGGUGGGAUUAGCUAGUAGGUGGGGUAACGGCUCACCGAGGCGACGAUCCCUAGCUGGUCUGAGAGGGUGACCAGCCACACUGGAACUGAGACACGGUCCAGACUCCUACGGGAGGCAGCAGUGGGGAAUAUUGCACAAUGGGCGCAAGCCUGAUGCAGCCACGCCGCGUGUGUGAUGAAGGCCUUCGGGUUGUAAAGCACUUUCAGCGGGGAGGCGUUACCCGCAGAAGAAGCCCCGGCUAACUCCGUGCCAGCAGCCGCGGUAAUAC